UCGUUAAUUCCUGAAACAACGGUCGAGUUUCAGAAACAAUUUGCUUGUUGCAGAAUUAUUUUCCUUCAUCUUUGUGUAACAUAGGGAGGACGUGGGACAAAGAGAUAGCCCAGGCAGCCAUUCGAUCGACUCGAUCGAACGACAACACGUCCGACCGAUGUCUAGCACGGAUCAGCCGGCUGAGGAAAAGGUUUUCCCUAUUGAUAUUCAAUCCAAUGGAAUGUCAAGGCUUCCAAUGCAAACAUCCAAACAGAGUGUUAGUGUCAUACUAGAAGACUAGUACAUAUUGUGUACGAGUAGAAUCCUGCGGGCAAGGAACGGGCGUAACGCUUGAAGCCGCUGUGUUCUCUUCUUCACACUUUCCUCGCCGCUGCUCCCGCAGGCCGCAGUCAUGCGCAUCUUCCUUCUGUCAGGGCAGAGCAACAUGGCCGGCCGCGGCGGCGUGCNN
rnacentral:lncRNA from 1 species